AUCUCGGUACAGCUCCAAACCAAGGAAGCCCCAACGGGGCAGAGAUCCCAGGCAGUGACGGGACAGGGAGCCAGGUCUGCGUCUUUGAUGUCUCGGCUCAAGUGCAGAGGAAGGAAGUGCAAACGGUCGAAUCGGCGGUGGAUACGGGCAGUUAGCGGACCUCCUGGACCCCAGCAGUUGUGCCUAGCGCAGACGUCUCUGUUCAACUCCACGCAAUUCCUUACUGGAACUCCACACAGCCUCGGUGCUACUCAACGCCACCAGGGAGUGUCCAAUGUCUCUUGCUACCCACAGCAGCAACAUUAUUACUAUGCAAUGGUCAUGAGCAGUGCUGCUAGGUAGCCACGAGUGUGAACACGGAGGUCGUGUUUAUCGUUGUCAAGGCUGAGCGGGUGAUGGUGACGAUGGGCGGAAUGGGAGAAACGCCAACCCCCUACCGCUGUUACAACCCAGUCCUGGACAGGAGAGGCCAGGGACGACCAACAGCGUCCAUCAGGGAGUGUCAAUGUCUCUCGCUACCCACAGCAGCAGCAUUCUUUAUUAUCAAUGGCAAUGAGCCGUGCUCUGUAGCCACGCGUGAGCAUCAUGGAGGUUGUGUUUUAUUAUUGUCAAGGCUGAGCGGGUGGUGGUGAUGGGGAAUCGGACACGCUGGCAUCCGUUCCUGCCCCCCCCAACUUUGAGAAAGAUGUCUCUGGGCGAGUUCUCAACCCAGGACCCCAGCAGUUGUGCCUAGCGCAGACGUCUCUGUUCAACUCCACGCAAUUCCUUACUGGAACUCCACACAGCCUCGUUGCUACUCAACGCAACUUUGAUGCAACGUCAACACCGUCCAUCAGGGAGUGUCAAUGUCUCUUGCUACCCACAGCAGCAACAUUAUUACUAUGCAAUGGUCAUGAGCAGUGCUGCUAGGUAGCCACGAGUGUACACGGAGGUUGUGUUUAUCAUUGUCAAGGCUGAGCGGGUGGUGGUGGUGGUGGUGAUGGGGAAUCUGACACGCUGGCAUCCGUUCCUGCCACCCCCAACUUUGAGAAAGAUGUCCCUGGGCGAGUUCUCAACCCAUGUAACCGUGCGAGUCUCCAGCCCGAUCCUCGGCCUUGCUCACCAAACGAGCGAUGUGGAUGUCUAUUUGAGGUUUGUUGACGUUUUGGUGUUCUUAAUUGGCCACGCAGGGAAAUGUUGUCAGCAGGACUUUGUGAAAGUUUUAAUCAAGGCACAACUUGAAACCUAAUUAGCGAAUAAGCACGGCAUGAAGUUUACGUCAUGUGACCUGAUGAUUGAAAUUAAUGUUUUCCUACGGCUGUCCCGAAAGAGU